rnacentral:rRNA from 1 species
CCGUAACUAUAACGGUCCUAAGGUAGCGAAAUUCCUUGUCGGGUAAGUUCCGACCUGCACGAAUGGCGUAACGAUGGCGGCGCUGUCUCCACCCGAGACUCAGUGAAAUUGAAAUCGCUGUGAAGAUGCAGUGUAUCCGCGGCUAGACGGAAAGACCCCGUGAACCUUUACUAUAGCUUUGCACUGGACUUUGAAUUUGCUUGUGUAGGAUAGGUGGGAGGCUUUGAAGCGUGGACGCCAGUUCGCGUGGAGCCAUCCUUGAAAUACCACCCUGGCAACUUUGAGGUUCUAACUCAGGUCCGUUAUCCGGAUCGAGGACAGUGUAUGGUGGGUAGUUUGACUGGGGCGGUCUCCUCCUAAAGAGUAACGGAGGAGUACGAAGGUGCGCUCAGACCGGUCGGAAAUCGGUCGUAGAGUAUAAAGGCAAAAGCGCGCUUGACUGCGAGACAGACACGUCGAGCAGGUACGAAAGUAGGUCUUAGUGAUCCGGUGGUUCUGUAUGGAAGGGCCAUCGCUCAACGGAUAAAAGGUACUCCGGGGAUAACAGGCUGAUACCGCCCAAGAGUUCAUAUCGACGGCGGUGUUUGGCACCUCGAUGUCGGCUCAUCACAUCCUGGGGCUGAAGCCGGUCCCAAGGGUAUGGCUGUUCGCCAUUUAAAGUGGUACGCGAGCUGGGUUUAGAACGUCGUGAGACAGUUCGGUCCCUAUCUGCCGUGGACGUUUGAGAUUUGAGAGGGGCUGCUCCUAGUACGAGAGGACCGGAGUGGACGAACCUCUGGUGUUCCGGUUGUCACGCCAGUGGCAUUGCCGGGUAGCUAUGUUCGGGAAAGAUAACCGCUGAAAGCAUCUAAGCGGGAAACUUGCCUCAAGAUGAGAUCUCACUGGGACCUUGAGUCCCCUGAAGGGCCGUCGAAGACUACGACGUUGAUAGGCAGGGUGUGUAAGCGCUGUGAGGCGUUGAGCUAACCUGUACUAAUUGCCCGUGAGGCUUGACCAU